GACGAACGCUGGCGGCGUGCUUAACACAUGCAAGUCGAACGGAAAGGCCCUGCUUUUGUGGGGUGCUCGAGUGGCGAACGGGUGAGUAACACGUGAGUAACCUGCCCUUGACUGUGGGAUAACUUCAGGAAACUGGGGCUAAUACCGGAUAGGAGCUCCUGCUGCAUGGUGGGGGUUGGAAAGGUUCGGCGGUUGGGGAUGGACUCGCGGCUUAUCAGCUUGUUGGUGGGGUAGUGGCUUACCAAGGCUUUGACGGGUAGCCGGCCUGAGAGGGUGACCGGCCACAUUGGGCCUGCGAUACGGCCCAGACUCCUACGGGCGGCAGCAGUGGGGAAUAUUGCACAAUGGGCGGAAGCCUGAUGCAGCAACUCCGCGUGCGGGAUGACGGCCUUCGGGUUGUAAACCGCUUUCGCCUGUGACGAAGCGUGAGUGACGGUAAUGGGUACAGAAGCACCGGCUAACUACGUG
rnacentral:rRNA from 1 species